AACGUAGGAGACAAACGUUAUCCGGAGUUACUGGGCGUAAAGGGCGUGUAGGUGGUAUCGUAAGUCUGGCGUGAAAUUUCUCGGCUUAACCGAGGCAGGUCGUCGGAUACUGCGAGGCUAGAGGACGGUAGAGGCGUGUGGAAUUCCUGGUGUAGCAGUGAAAUGCGUAGAUAUCAGGAGGAAUACCGAUGGCGAAGGCAGGUCUCUGGGCUGACACUGACGCUCAUGCACGAAAGCGUGGGGAGCAAACAGG
rnacentral:rRNA from 1 species